CAUGGGUUUUAUGAAUUGUUUUUGAAUGCAUGCCUACUUUAAUGUGUUAAUAGUUUGCAUAUGUAUUCAAAUAUUCUCACAUGUUCUUAGCUAGGACAAAAUUUUUCCUUCAUGAUAUACACAGGGAUUGAGGUUAAUGAAUAAAAUGCGUGGAAAGAGCAACUGCAAAAAAUGGGGGCGUUUGUCAUCAUGUAGUGGAUCUUUUUUUUGCAAUUCCAAAGAUUAUGCAAUGGAAAUUGAAGCAACUCGACUACCCAGCUUUAAUGUUGAUCUCGACCUGACUAUAAAGAUUUUGAAGACCAAACGUAAGCAUUCCAGCUUACUUUGAAAGGCAUAGUCUUUGGUAACAAUCCAUCCUUAAAGGGACCAAGUUGCCUCUCAAAUGGAUAGUUAGGGGCAAUUAUGGGACCAUGAUUUUCCAGAGCUGGAGUAAGGCUAAUCCGUAUA
rnacentral:lncRNA from 1 species